CUUUAGAGUCGUGGGUGGUUGAGAGAUCCUGGAUGAGCCCCCAAAUUAAAGUCCACCUGGGUGGUGAAGACCCCCACUCAAAUCUCGAGAUAACACAACCCCCCAAGAACUCACAAGAAACC
rnacentral:pre_miRNA from 14 species